rnacentral:misc_RNA from 1 species
GAUGAAGAACGUAGCGAAAUGCGAUACUUGGUGUGAAUUGCAGAAUCCCGUGAACCAUCGAGUCUUUGAACGCAAGUUGCGCCCGAAGCCACUAGGCCGAGGGCACGCCUGCCUGGGCGUCACACGCCGUUGCCCCCCCAUCUACUCCUUCGGGAUUGCGGGGGGGCGGAUGAUGGCCUCCUGUGCGCCUAGCCGCGCGGUUGGCAUAAAUACCAAGUCCUCGGCGACGCACGCCACGACAAUCGGUGGUUGCGAACCCUCGGUUGCCCGUCGUGUGCGUUCGUCGCGCAUCGAGGGCUCGAAAAAAUGCUCGGCUCCGGCUGGGCUUUCAACGCGACCCCAGGUCAGGCGGGGUUACCCGCUGAAUUUAAGCAUAUCAAUAAGCGGAGGA